UCUCUGUUGUCUCAGGCAGCGAAGUAUUUG
rnacentral:piRNA from 1 species